GGUCUGAGAGGACGACCAGUCACACGGGGACUGAGACACGGCCCCGACUCCUACGGGAGGCAGCAGUGGGGAAUUUUCCGCAAUGGGCGAAAGCCUGACGGAGUGACGCCGCGUGUGGGACGAAGGCCUUCGGGUCGUAAACCACUGUCAGUGGGAAAGAUGGGUGUCGGUGUGAAUAGCGCCGGCAUCUGACGGUACCUGCAGAGGAAGCCCCGGCCAACUCUGUGCCAGCAGCCGCGGUAAGACAGAGGGGGCAAGCGUUGCUCGGAAUUACUGGGCGUAAAGGGCGCGUAGGCGGAAUGGCAAAUCGGUCGUGAAAUCCUUCGGCUCAACCGAAGAACGUCGAUCGAAACUGCCGUUCUUGAGGAUUGCAGAGGAGACUGGAAUUCCCGGUGUAGCGGUGAAAUGUGUAGAGAUCGGGAGGAACACCGGUGGCGAAGGCGGGUCUCUGGGCAAUUCCUGACGCUGAGGCGCGAAAGCGUGGGGAGCAAACGGGAUUAGAUACCCCGGUAGUCCACGCUGUAAACGAUGACGACUAGGUGUGGGGGGGUUCGGUCCCUUCCGUGCCGCAGCUAACGCAUUAAGUCGUCCGCCUGGGGAGUACGGCCGCAAGGUUGAAACUCAAAGGAAUUGACG
rnacentral:rRNA from 1 species